rnacentral:rRNA from 1 species
CCUUGGGGUAAGGAGAAAGAUCCCUUAUAUCAUAAAGAAACGCAAGUUUUGCCCUUAGAAGAGCUAAUCUCGUGUAAUGUAGUAGUUAAAGUAAAGGUUUAACUAGCUUUAUAUACGUAGUCGAAACUGAAAGGUUGAUCGACCACAGUGGGCCUGAAGAAAGCCCACGAUGAUUAUUACAGCAGUGAGGAAUAUUGGUCAAUAGCCUAAAGGCUGAACCAGCAACUUGGAGGAAUGAAUAGUGAAAGCUAAUUGUAUUACAUAAUACAAUAUCGAUUUAAUCGAAUAAAAUUCUGGGUAGAAUUAUGAUGAUGACAUUGUUUACCUAUAUUUCUUGACCAAAUUACGUGCCAGCAGUCGCGGUAAUACGUAAAAGAUCAGUGUUAUUCAUCUUUAAUGGGUUUAAAGGGUACCUAGACAGCAAGCCAAGCCUACCUAAGGCACUAGUUUGCUAGAGUUACUAAUGAGGGGGCACAAAAGUACUGCUGGUGUAGAGAUGAAAUUCGAUGAUACCUUUUUUCGAGAGAAAAAUAAUGGCACAGGUUUAGGCAAAAGCAUCCCCUUAUGAGAUAACUGACGUUGAAGGACGAAGGCUUUGUGUAGCGAACAGGAUUAGAUACCCUGAUAGUCGAAGCAGAAAAUGAUGAGUGUCAUAGAUUAGAUAUAAAUUUAUUCUAUAAAUGAAAGUGUAAGCACUCCACCUCAAGAGUAAUUUGGCAACAUUGGAACUGAAAUCAUUAGACCGUUUCUGAAACCAGUAGUGAAGUAUGUUGUUCAAUUAGAAAGCACGCAAAAAACCUUACCACAAUUUGAAUAUUUAUAUUUAGCAAGCAAACCAGACGGAUAUAUUUACAAGCGUUGCACGGCUGUCUUCAGUUAAUGUCGCGAGACUUUGGUUAGUUCCAUUAAAUUAACGUAAACCCUUACUUUAUUUUUACAUAAAGUAGUUCCCCGCUACACUGGAUAUGAUAACAGGGAUCAAGGCAAGUCAUCAUGACCUAUAUAUUGUGGGCUAUAGACGUGCUG